CUUGGCGUGACAGUGCCUAGUAAUCAUAUAAUCUAGCCAUGGCACCCAUUUGUGUGAAAGCUAUCGGUCCUGUCUUGUAGUUAAUCAGUAAGAGCUUCGAUGCACCGGAUGUACAGCAUGGUUGUAGUUUUAAAACUACAAGGAUCAGCAAGGGAAGGUAGAAGAAAACUCUUUGAGUAAAACAUUUGUCCCAUCGUUUUAGAUAGAAAAUCCAACAUUCUCAGUUACUGGAGCCGCAUAUAAAACAAACAUGUUUGUGAUUACAUAUACAAUAUAAAUGCAAAUCAGGCAUAUAGUUUAUAGCAUUACUAAAAGUCAUCAAGUAAACAUACACAAUGAUGCUGAUAAAUAAGAAAAAUGUAUAGCUAAGUGUUGAUCUGCUCAGAGAGUCUACAAACCAUUAUACAUUUACUGCAACUGAAAGACUGAAAAAAACAAGUGAAAAAAGAUGCUCAACGGAACAUAAAGGACAAAAAGUGGGACAGCAUGGUGUUGUAGGAUUAUUGAAUGCUUUCUUGCAUACAUAAAUUGUCUGAUGUGUCUUCAAAUAUCUCUGGCUAUCUCCUCAUCCUCUGAUGAAGAUCUCUUUGGAAGUCAGCUACCU